ensembl:snRNA U6 U6 spliceosomal RNA
GUGCUCACUUCAGUAACAUAUAUACCAGAAUUGGAACAACACAGAGGCGAUUCGCAUGGCCCCCACGCAGGAGUGACACACACAUUCGUGAAGCGUGACAUGUUUGU